CGAGAAUCGUAAAGAUGGCCGUUCAUGAUGCUCAAGUGAAAAAUGUAACGACCAUUGAAAAUGACAAUUCUGACGAAAGUGAUCAUUUGGACAUUGACGGAGCGGCCAAACACGAUGGGAAGAAACACAAGGCAAAGAAAAAGCACAAGACUAAGCACAAACACAAGAAAAAAUCGACAAAAGAUGACAUUGACUUGGCCGAGAAUAGCGGGAAAAAAACAGACAAGAGAAAAUCAAAAAAGGAACUCACGGCUGACAAUUCACAAGGAAAUAAUGUGAUCGAUGCUGCUUUGGAAGAUUUAGAGAAAAGAAGGAAGUUCUUGGAAUCCCAGUUGGCGGCUGAAGAAAAGAAUGGGUUUGACGAUGCAAAAAUUUCUGAAAAUAAAACAGUUAAAAAUGAUAGCAAAUUAGAAAAAGAUUAUAAAAUUUCUGAUAAAAAGAGGAAGUACGAAGAUGAUGUGAUACUGUCAUCAAUUAAUCAAGAGUUUUUAGGUGAAGUUAAGAGGUCUAAAAGACAUCAGAGCCCAUCUGAGGAGCCCAAGGUUAGAGAGAAAAGUAGAAAGUCUGGUUAUCAAAAGGAAAAUAAGUCGGACAAUUCUCAUGAAGGAAAAGAAAGGUCUUCGAAGAGAGAACAUUUUGAUGGAAAUUCAGAGAAAGUGAUCUCAGAUAGAAUGAUGCCAAGAGGAGGUGAUAAUAAGGAAGGAAGGAAUGAGAAAGUCGAGAAUGAUUCCAAGAAUUCUGAUUCAAGGAUUUCCAAGAAACAUGGUGAGGCAAGAAAGAGACAAAGCAGCUCUCCAAAGGCAGAUGACGAGGCCACUAAAAGACAAAAAGAAUCACCUUCAAAGGAUAUCUUGAAGUCAGAGGGUAGCAACAACAAGGACACAAAGCAUAGAAGUUCUAAUAGAGACAAGCGUGACAGUUCAAGGGAAGCUCAUUCAUCACAAGGUAGGAAUCAUGAUAAAUCUUCUUCAAAACAACGAUCGGAUGAGAGCACAAGGAAACGAAGCAAGUCACCCAGCAAUCGCUCUCUUGUAACCUCUGAGAAGAGAGAAAGAUCACCAAAUAAGAGAGAUGGAACUCCUUCAAAGAGAAAUACAUCAUCUCCAAGGAAAGAUACAUCUUCCAAAAUGGAUGAAACUAGAUCAAAAAGAGAUUCCUCUCCUUCAAAACGAAAAACUUCUCCAUCAAAUUUUGAAGGCAGUCGUAACAAAAGAGAUCUCUCUCAAUCAAAAGAGGAGAAUUCUGUGUCUAAAACUACCCCAUCUCAGAGAAGAGCAUCUUCUCGCAGCAAGGAAAGGCCUAACAAGACUAGAAGUAGCUCUCCAAAUAAAAGAGAUCAGAGCUCCAUUCAGAAGAGAAGCAGGAGUCCACAAGACCAGAGAAGCAGCCAGCGUAAGAGCAGAUCCCCUUCGAGAAAGAAGAGAUCUCCGAGGCUAAAAAGCAAAUCCCCCAGACGGGAACAGCGGUUAAGCGGACGCAAUCGUUCGCCUCACGACAGAUCGAAGGACGGUUCGGGAAAACGACGUCGCAGUAGCUCACGUGACAGAAGGUCGCGUGAGGAAAGGUCACGUGACGAAAGGUCACGUGACAGACGGCAUCAUUCCAGGAGAAGCCGGUCGCCUCAUCGUUCGAAGAGCGACAAGUCGAAGAAAGACGAGGAAAAGAAGGAGGACUCAGACCAUGAUAUGUACAAUUUUGAGUUGAAAGAAGAUGAUGAAGACGAAGAUGAAAUUAUUGAAAAACGACGACAACAACGUCUCGCUAUCCUACAGAAGUACAAACAUCGCGAAUACUCCGACUCUCCAGUUGUUUCUGCGGUCAGUUCUCCCACGGCCAGUGAGCUGAGUGUGAAAGAUGAAGUGAUUCAUGUUCAGAAAGAUGCGACGGAGAAAGAAGCGCCAAAGAUUGAGGAGAAAGUCGAAGAAUCUGACAUGUUCGCCGAUGAAUAUAAGGCUCCAGAAGUGUCAAAGUUAACUGUGAAAGAGAACGAGGACCCAAGUUUAACGGAUAAUUGGGACGAUGCAGAAGGCUAUUAUCGUGUCCGUAUUGGCGAACUACUUGACAAGCGUUACGAGAUCUACGGUUAUACUGGUCAGGGUGUCUUCAGUAAUGUCGUGAGAGGACGUGAUCAAGCACGUGGCAAACAGGAUGUUGCAAUUAAAAUUAUUCGAAAUAAUGAAAUGAUGCAUAAAAGUGGUCUGAAAGAGUUGGAAAUUCUGAAGAAACUAAACGAUGCGGAUCCUGAUGACAAAUACCACUGCAUUCGUUUGUUUCGACAUUUCUUUCACAAGAAACAUCUUUGCCUCGUAUUUGAACCUAUGAGUCUCAACUUGCGCGAAGUGUUGAAGAAAUACGGACAAAAUGUUGGCCUUCACAUCAAGGCUGUUCGUUCAUAUUCGCAGCAAUUGUUUCUAGCGUUGAAGUUGAUGAAGAAAUCUGGUAUUCUUCAUGCUGACAUCAAACCAGAUAAUAUUUUGGUGAGCUCCAACAAAUUGGUCGUAAAGUUGUGUGAUUUUGGUUCAGCAUCGCUUGUGUGUGAUAACGAUAUUACACCGUAUCUGGUCAGCAGGUUCUACAGAGCUCCAGAGAUCAUCAUUGGCAACACAUACGACUACGCCAUCGACCUUUGGAGCGUGGGUUGUACAAUCUUCGAGCUGUACACAGGAAAGAUCACGUUCCCGGGAAAAUCGAAUAAUGAAAUGUUAAAACUGAUGAUGGAAGCCAAGGGGAAGAUGCCGAACAAGAUGAUACGAAAGGGAAUGUUCAAGAACCAACAUUUCGAUGAAAAUUGUAAUUUCCUCUUCGCGGAAGUCGAUAAAGUAACCCAACGAGAAAAAGUGACGGUAAUGUCGACGGUGAAUGCCACAAAGGAGCUCACGGAGUCUUUGGUAGACUCGCACAAAACUCAAGACGACCUCAAGCGAAAGGUGACCCAGUUCAAAGAUCUUAUCGACAAGCUCCUCAUGCUGGAUCCGUCCAAACGUCUGGUUGUCAAUCAAGCCUUGACUCAUCCGUUUAUUACCGAGAGAAUGCAGACUUGAAACUGGCGUAAACUCAACCUGUAAGCCCUAGAGAGGUUAACCUUUUAUUCAUUUAGAGAGUUUGUAGUCUAACUUGAUUUACUUACUAGAGACACAGGCCAUGCAGAUGAGUAGUGUAUCAUACUGUGCACGGGAAUAAGAAUUUCUACUUCGGAAUCCCUGAACACGUUUGAAAGCAUUGCGUCGUCAUUAUAUUGUUCUUUUGCAAUGUUUUUUGGAUAUCCUUUGGGACACAAAUUCCUGAAAUGAUUUAGGAGCAAUUUUCUUCGGUGAGGAUGUUUUCGAUGGUAAGAAAAUGUUAAGGGGGAAAUAGUCAAGGAGUUUUGCUGAGACUUUUUAUAUGUGAUCCGCGAUUGGAGAAGACGUGUCCAGAGAGACGGCAUUUUAAGUGCACUAGAUAACCGUGUUUAUAGAUUUGAUCCUUGCAACGAUCACAAUUGUAUUGUAGCUCUUAGAUACAAGUGGUCUGUGCCAUACCAACCAUGUGGUCAAUCCUUCACGCCCAAAAAUUUAUCUUCUGAAAGCGUUGGAUCGCUCUGUUUGGAACCUCGUUGAUGAUUCCAUGAAGUGCCAUGUUUUGUUUUGAAGAUUCGAUUGGAGGAAGAUUUGUCGCCAAGGAGAGGUUAAGAGGUACAAAUUAAAAGAGAUUUCUUUUAAGCGACGAAAUGCCACGAUUUCCGUUUGAAUCUUUUUGCUAAAUGGCGACGUUUUUUGAAGAUUCUUUGAAGAUUUUUUGAAGAUUUCGCCGGCUUUAUUCGUUUCUAUCUCGUGAACGAACGUAUAUUUUUUCGUGGAUUUCGCUAUGCGAAUCUCAGGCAACGAAAGUGGGAAACGACGAUAGCUCGGGUAAACACAGCAGACGGUGAAAAUGCAUCAUG
rnacentral:misc_RNA from 1 species